rnacentral:siRNA from 1 species
UGAUUGAAGAAGCUGCCACCU